rnacentral:rRNA from 1 species
UGGGGAAUCUUAGGCAAUGGGGGAAACCCUGACCUAGCCAUGCCGCGUGGAGGAAGACACCCCUACGGGGCGUAAACUCCUUUUCUGCCGGAAGAAAACCCUGUUUUGCAGGGCGUGACGGUACGGCAGGAAUAAGCACCGGCUAACUCCGUGCCAGCAGCCGCGGUAAUACGGAGGGUGCAAGCGUUGUCCGGAAUCACUGGGCGUAAAGGGUGUGUAGGCGGGGCAGCAAGUCAGGGGUGAAAGCCCGCGGCUCAACCGUGGAAGUGCCCUUGAAACUGCUGCUCUUGAGUCCUGGAGAGGUUGCCGGAAUUCGUGGUGUAGCGGUGAAAUGCGUAGAUAUCACGAGGAACACCAGAGGCGAAAGCGGGCAACUGGACAGGUACUGACGCUGAGGCACGAGAGCGUGGGGAGCAAACA